rfam:Ovis aries breed Texel chromosome 14, whole genome shotgun sequence.
UCACUGGUUGUCCAGAGACUAAGACUGUGCACUCCCAAUGCAGGGGACCCAGGUUCAAUCCCUGGUCAGGGAA